CCCUUAGAUGUUCUGGGCCGCACACGCGCUACACUGAAGGAGGCAGCGUGUACUCCUGGAUCGAAAGAUUUGGGUAACCCGCGAAUCUCCUUCGUGCUAGGGAUUGAGGUUUGCAAUUAUCCUUCAUGAACGAGGAAUUCCCAGUAAGUGCAAGUCAUAAGCUUGCGCUGACUACGUCCCUGCCCUUUGUACACACCGCCCGUCGCUACUACCGAUUGAAUGAUUUAGUGAGGACUUCGGACUGGGACCGAUGCGGCUUUCGGGCUGCGUCGAUAUUCUGGAAAGAUGUCCAAACUGUAUCAUUUAGAGGAAGUAAAAGUCGUAACA
rnacentral:rRNA from 1 species